rnacentral:lncRNA from 1 species
GUAUCUACGGAGUACCGCACUGUCUUUACCCCGGAGUUUAGCAAGCAUUGGGAUGCAUUUCUUGAAGCGAUAUCUAAGAAUACCUAGGUAACUACUUAGGCUUACAUCUCUAUGAGAAUUUAGACUACGCGGUAAUUACACAUGUCUAUCUGCUGACGGGAUUGUUGUCUUGCCCAGUCGUACUGUCGCAUUCAGGUUGCAUCGCUUUUCUCCGAACAUUGCAUGACACAACAUGAGAUCUACCCAUGUGGUAUGAACAGGGACGAGCGAGGUUGGACUUAACCUUCUAGAUAUCUGUAGGCUACUAUAGCCAUUUCAUAAUGUGAUUGAGGAACGGAGCCGAUCUAAAUCAUCAUUUCUAUAAGGAAUUGAAAGAUGCCACAUCGUGCCCUAACCCUAAUCCGGGGUUAGCUUUUCGAUUCCAGUGCAAGCAAAGUCCCCAGCACAGAACAAUCUGAUAACGAUCUAUUUUUAUGGAUUAGUUACUAUGUGUAUUUUACAGCCUCUCACCCUCAAAGUCAUGCCCCUCCCUCAUCUCCCUAACCCUCUCUUUUUUACUACCCGGCAGUGUGGUAUUCGGAUCUUGUCCUUCAAAAGCAGUGUCCCCCACAGCAUAGCAACGACUGACGCAAGUACCGGAAGCAAUGAUCAAUAUGUUUAUACUCAUGCUUCUCUGAGUCAACAUGGUUUCCUCCAAUGAACUCGUCAAAUGUCCGCAUAAUCGAAUACUAAGCGAGGUCAGAUCAGGAGCAAUGAAAUGGAGUACAAAGGUGAUAGGAAAAAUGCUAAGAUAUACCAAACAAUGGAGCUGAUGAGUAACAGCCAGGGAGUAUAUUUGUUCGCCAGACUUUUCCAUUGGGGGCGGGAGUUGAUAUUUCUUGUUAUCA